rnacentral:rRNA from 1 species
GUGGGCAAUCUGCCCUUCACUCUGGGACAAGCCCUGGAAACGGGGUCUAAUACCGGAUAAUACUCCUGCCUGCAUGGGCGGGGGUUGAAAGCUCCGGCGGUGAAGGAUGAGCCCGCGGCCUAUCAGCUUGUUGGUGGGGUAAUGGCCCACCAAGGCGACGACGGGUAGCCGGCCUGAGAGGGCGACCGGCCACACUGGGACUGAGACACGGCCCAGACUCCUACGGGAGGCAGCAGUGGGGAAUAUUGCACAAUGGGCGAAAGCCUGAUGCAGCGACGCCGCGUGAGGGAUGACGGCCUUCGGGUUGUAAACCUCUUUCAGCAGGGAAGAAGCGAAAGUGACGGUACCUGCAGAAGAAGCGCCGGCUAACUACGUGCCAGCAGCCGCGGUAAUACGUAGGGCGCAAGCGUUGUCCGGAAUUAUUGGGCGUAAAGAGCUCGUAGGCGGCUUGUCACGUCGGAUGUGAAAGCCCGAGGCUUAACCUCGGGUCUGCAUUCGAUACGGGCUAGCUAGAGUGUGGUAGGGGAGAUCGGAAUUCCUGGUGUAGCGGUGAAAUGCGCAGAUAUCAGGAGGAACACCGGUGGCGAAGGCGGAUCUCUGGGCCAUUACUGACGCUGAGGAGCGAAAGCGUGGGGAGCGAACAGGAUUAGAUACCCUGGUAGUCCACGCCGUAAACGUUGGGAACUAGGUGUUGGCGACAUUCCACGUCGUCGGUGCCGCAGCUAACGCAUUAAGUUCCCCGCCUGGGGAGUACGGCCGCAAGGCUAAAACUCAAAGGAAAUUGACGGGGGCCCGCACAAGCG